rnacentral:misc_RNA from 1 species
UUAAGUUCAGCGGGUAUCCCUACCUGAUCCGAGGUCAACCGUAGAAGGGGGUUGCUGGCAGGCACGCGCCCGGGACCUAUAGCGAGAGUUGUACUACGCUCAGGAGCCGGACGGCACCGCCACUGACUUUGGGGCCCGCCAGCCGGCGAGCCCAAGACCAGCAGGGCUGGAUUGGUUAUUAUGACGCUCGAACAGGCAUG